UGCCGGUUGUACAUAAGCAGAACCAUCUUUAUUACCCUCGGGCACUAACCGUAAAGGAAACGAGUCGAGAGAAGCGGCGAACGAGAGAGCGAGCGAGAAGCGAGCGAGCGUCGAAGAGGGUCGAAGAGGAUCCGAUGGGGCCGACGCGACGCGACGGGCCGAGUCUGCUAUCCUGAGGACAAAAGUAAUCGAGAAACGGACAUGAUCGCGAGGAAGAAGGAGCAGGAAUAGCGAUAAAGGGAUGAACGAAAAGAAGGAAAGAGGCAGGAAGAAUGAAAUGGUGGCAAGCGGAAGAUGGGGAAGAAGGAUAAAAGCGAGAAGAAAGAAUGGGAAGAUAAGAGGAAAGUCUGCGAAGCACACGAUGUUUCCGUGGCAGAAGCGGCUUGUUUACCGCAACCACUAUUAGCUCCCAAUCCAACUACGAGGCACCAAGUCCUGCACCGGGCUAAAGACAGGGAUUUCGCUUCCCUUUGCGCGCAAACGCCGUUUCCUUUAUUUAUUUAUCUUUGUCCGCCACCCGCCAGCAAUGCUUGCUCAGUUGUCUUUUCUCCGGCUUUCCAUUAUUCUGUCGUAGGACAGUUUACGUUAGCACUGAAACGAUUCGUCGCUUUGAAGCUGUAACCCAUCAUCGUCGCUGUCUCCGAGGGGAUACACCGUUUUUACCUUGCAACGGUCUCACGACACCGUUUUUCUUGGAACCUCUUUCUUACCAACUACAAGAAUAUACAUCACUAACGUUAUAUAAAUUUAAUUUAAAUGAAUAUAAUUACGCGUACAGGAUUGUCAAAUCAAUUUUAACGGUUUGCAAUAAACCUUUUUUCGUGUAAUAAUUAGAGAUCGAAAACGUGAAUGAAUCAUGUUAACAAGAAUUAAUUUUAAUUAUUAUUAAUUUCUUAUCAAGUGGUUGAGGGGAAAGAAGCGUUGGCACAAGCGCGACUAAGUCUAAGAUACGAGAGAAGAGAAGUUUAAACUGGUAUUUCUCUUUGAUAAAGGAGAUCCUUAAUAACGAAUUUAGCUUGUUACCAAGUGAUUAAGAAGAAGGAGUCACACUUAUUCUAGAUCAUAAUAAUAAUUAUUAUAUGUAUAUAAAUAUUUACUAUUGUACAUAUUGUUAUAAAGACUGAAUGUGUUACAAGUAUCUUUUCCGUAAAAUGUUGAGAAACGAUGAAAAUAAACGUGUUUCAAGUUAA